UGCUGGGGCUAGCUUGAGCUAGUUAAGGAUUGUAUUCCUGGAAUAUUGCUAUUUUUAUUGUUGAAUGGAACUUGGCCAUUUGUGGCCUUUUAGUCUUUGUGUUUCCCUUUUCUAUUCUUCUCUCUUGUUUUCUAUUCUUCUUUUUGGAUUUUUGCUCUUAACUCUAUCAGUCCAUGGGUUUUUGCAGAUGUAUGCCAACAAAGAUGGACUUUUAGUUAUUUUCCCAAAUCCAAAGUAAAAUCAGUUAAUGCAAAUUUUCUUUUUUGGCUUGUUGAUAAUUGGAAGGCCUAUGAAAGGAUUUCACAUACACAAACUGGCAAUUAUUUUAUACAUAAUACACCAUUGCACAGCCAGUGCAAUGCUCAAAAACCAUAAACACCCAUUUUACAACCUUUGACAUUUAAAUUGAUUCACAAUGCCCAAAAGUGGUAGCAAAAACCUUAUAAGUCAUUCACAGUCAAGAUAAAUUAAUUCAUACUUCAGUUGCAGACAUCUCAAACUGUCAGCUAAUGCACAUAAAGUCUCUAACUAUAUGAUUAUCCUCCAAUUAUUGAAAUUCUGUGAAGCAUGGAAACGGCUACAGAUGGAGUUUCCCCUUUUUGGAAACGUUUCCAACACAGAAACAGUGGGAUACGGCAAAGAAUCGUUUCAGG
rnacentral:misc_RNA from 1 species